UAUGAGGUAAAACUCAUACUAGUCUUAAAUUAUAAUUGUAGCAUAUUAUUCAUGAAUAUCCUCAUACUAUGACAGCUGACCAAACUUGAGGUGAAAACUGUAGAGUUCUAGAACAAAAUAAGAGGGUUCUAUUUACAAAAUAACUAAGGAUGUAACUAUAAAAGAACAGUUCUUGAAAAUGAACAAAAGAGAUAUAAAACAUUUAUUCCAAUAAGAGAAAUGUAUAAAAGCAAAGAAGCCUGGGUCAGUAGAAAAGGUGGAAAACGUUGAACACAUCAUUGGAUCAAGUUUUACUGAUAUCUAAGAACCCAUUUUCAUGGCUGGAUUUCUAAUCCAUUUAUUCAGAAAGAACACCUACAGAAGUGGUUUUCAAUAAUUCUUUGAGUCAAGGAAACCUUAAUAAAAGAAAUAUACCAUAUUGCUGUGUUUAGGAAAACUUUGUAGUUAACGUUUAGGAAACUCUUUAAGACAUAUGAUGAUUAAAAAAGAGAGGUGAAACUAGAGAAUAUUUUAGGGCAGGAUUUUUCAAGGAGGUAAAACUACAGGGUGUUUGUUCUACAGAAAGAUGUAACACUCCAUCCUGCAGCAAAACUUGUUAAGACAUAAAAUAAACAACUCAAAACAACAUCAAGAAGUCCCAGAAACUGAACAGAUCACUAUGCCUCUCCAACUUAAGAAUAUAUAACUGUUGAAAGAGUAAAAACUGUUGAAAGUCACUCCUACACAAGACAAGCUACAGCAAAGACUCUCAGACAAGCCAAGAUAUCUUGAAGAAUCAAAGACUAGCCAAUCAUCCUAAACUUCUGAAAGAGAGAGAGAGAAAUUGGACUGUCUAGAAGAGACAGACUGGUUGAGAUUCCUAGAAGAGACUUAAACCAACUAAGCCAUUGGGAAAGGAUGCUCUCCAACUGGUUGAGCUAGUUUGUUGUGUAGCGUGCUUCAGGCUCAACAUACACAAGCUGAUGUUCAGAGGAUGCCAAGACUGCAUCUCAUGUAAGAUGAUAUCGACUUUGUUGCACUACCAGAAGCUAGGAAAUGCCACGCAUGUAAUAUCUACAAGGGCCUUUACAGGAAUCACAGCUCUGGAGAUAUACGAAUGUCAUACUAGUGUCCUGAGGAAGGUAGAACCUAUGAAUAAUUCACAUUGUUAGGAAACUUUACCUGUAGAAGAAACAGACAGAACAAGCAAACCAAGCAUGUGGGGAAAAAAUGGGUCCUGAUUCAAUGGAACUGCUUUUUUAAAAGGAGACUUCAAGAGCCUGGGGUUGUAAAGAGAUGUGCAACACUGGCUGAGGUUUCUUUAAAAAAAAAAAGCAAAGAAAUUGCACAAAAAUUUGUCAAGCAUUCCAGCAAUAAAUAUGCCCCAGAUGAAA